rnacentral:rRNA from 1 species
GACGAACGCUGGCGGCGUGCUUAACACAUGCAAGUCGAACGGAAAGGCCCUGCUUUUGUGGGGUGCUCGAGUGGCGAACGGGUGAGUAACACGUGAGUAACCUGCCCUUGACUUUGGGAUAACUUCAGGAAACUGGGGCUAAUACCGGAUAGGAGCUCCUGCUGCAUGGUGGGGGUUGGAAAGUUUCGGCGGUUGGGGAUGGACUCGCGGCUUAUCAGCUUGUUGGUGGGGUAGUGGCUUAUCAAGGCUUUGACGGGUAGCCGGCCUGAGAGGGUGACCGGCCACAUUGGGACUGAGAUACGGCCCAGACUCCUACGGGAGGCAGCAGCGGGGAAUAUUGCACAAUGGGCGGAAGCCUGAUGCAGCAACGCCGCGUGCGGGAUGACGGCCUUCGGGUUGUAAACCGCUUUCGCCUGUGACGAAGCGUGAGUGACGGUAAUGGGUAAAGAAGCACCGGCUAACUACGUG